rnacentral:rRNA from 1 species
UACAGAGGGUGCAAGCGUUGUCCGGAAUUAUUGGGCGUAAAGGGCGCGUAGGCGGCUUUGCAAGUGGCGGGUGAAAUCCCUCGGCUUAACCGAGGAACUGCCUGCCAGACUGUGAGGCUUGAGACCGGGAGAGGGUAGUGGAAUUCCCGGUGUAGUGGUGAAAUGCGUAGAUAUCGGGAGGAACACCAGUGGCGAAGGCGACUACCUGGCCUGUUCUUGACGCUGAGGCGCGAAAGCUAGGGGAGCAAACGGG